CAAGUCGAGGGGCAGCAUGGAUGUAUCAAUACACUGAUGGCGACCGGCAAACGGGUGCGGAACACUUACGCAACUUACCCAAAACUGGGGAAUAGCCCGGGGAAACCCGGAUUAAUACCUCGUAACAUAAUGAAGUGGCAUCGCUUUAUUAUUAUAGCUCCGGCGGUUUUGGAUGGGCGUGCGCCUGAUUAUGUAGUUGGCGGGGUAACGGCCCACCAAGCCUACGAUCAGUAACUGGUGUGAGAGCACGACCAGGUCACACGGGCACUGAGACACGGGCCCGACUCCUACGGGAGGCAGCAGUAAGGAAUAUUGGUCAAUGGACGCAAGUCUGAACCAGCCAUGCCGCGUGAAGGAUGAAGGUCCUCUGGAUUGUAAACUUCUUUUAUAUGGGAAGAAAUCCAUCUUUUCUUGGGUGGUUGACGGUACCAUAGGAAUAAGCACCGGCUAACUCCGUGCCAGCGGCCGCGGUAAUACGGAGGGUGCAAGCGUUAUCCGGAUUCACUGGGUUUAAAGGGUGCGUAGGAGGGCAGGUAAGUCAGUGGUGAAAUCUCCAAGCUUAACUUGGAAACUGCCGUUGAUACUACCUGUCUUGAAUACCGUGGAGGUGAGCGGAAUAUGUCAUGUAGCGGUGAAAUGCUUAGAUAUGACAUAGAACACCAAUUGCGAAGGCAGCUCGCUACACGAAUAUUGACUCUGAGGCACGAAAGCGUGGGGAUCAAACAGGAUUAGAUACCCUGGUAGUCCACGCCCUAAACGAUGGAUACUCGACAUACGCGAUACACAGUGUGUGUCUGAGCGAAAGCAUUAAGUAUCCCACCUGGGAAGUACGACCGCAAGGUUGAAACUCAAAGGAAUUGGCGGGGGUCCGCA
rnacentral:rRNA from 1 species